UACAGAGGGUGCAAGCGUUAAUCGGAAUUACUGGGCGUAAAGCGUGCGUAGACGGCCAAACAGGUCCACUGUGAAAACUCGAGGCUCAACCUCGAGAGGUCGGUGGAAACCGUCUGGCUAGAGUCCGGAAGAGGAGAGUGGAAUUCCCGGUGUAGCGGUGAAGUGCGCAGAUAUCGGGAAGAACACCCGUGGCGAAGGCGGCUCUCUGGGACGGUACUGACGCUGAGACGCGAAAGCGUGGGGAGCGAACAGG
rnacentral:rRNA from 1 species